GAUGAACGCUGGCGGCGUGCUUAACACAUGCAAGUCGAACGGAAAGGCUCCUGCUUGCAGGGGUACUCGAGUGGCGAACGGGUGAGUAACACGUGGGUGAUCUGCCCUGCACUUCGGGAUAAGCCUGGGAAACUGGGUCUAAUACCGGAUAGGACGAUGGUUUGGAUGCCAUUGUGGAAAGUUUUUCGGUGUGGGAUGAGCUCGCGGCCUAUCAGCUUGUUGGUGGGGUAAUGGCCUGCCAAGGCGUCGACGGGUAGCCGGCCUGAGAGGGUGUACGGCCACAUUGGGACUGAGAUACGGCCCAGACUCCUACGGGAUGCAGCAGUGGGGAAUAUUGCACAAUGGGCGCAAGCCUGAUGCAGCGACGCCGCGUGGGGGAUGACGGCCUUCGGGUUGUAAACUCCUUUCGCUAGGGACGAAGCGCAAGUGACGGUACCUGGAGAAGAAGCACCGGCUAACUACGUG
rnacentral:rRNA from 1 species